UACGUAGGUGGCAAGCGUUGUCCGGAAUUAUUGGGCGUAAAGCGCGCGCAGGCGGUCCUUUAAGUCGUGAAUGUGAAAAGCCCACGGCUCAACCGUGGAGGGUCAUUGGAAACUGGGGGACUUGAGUGCAGAAGAGGAGAGUGGGAAUUCCACGUGUAGCGGUGAAAUGCGUAGAGAUGUGGAGGAACACCAGUGGCGAAGGGCGGAACUCCUCGUG
rnacentral:rRNA from 1 species